GUACUGCUGAAGAGUCCCAUAAUAGGACGAAACGGCCGUCCAGUAC
rfam:Schistosoma mansoni strain Puerto Rico chromosome 2, complete genome